AGGAUUUCGAGUCAUUCUUCAUCUAAACGGAAAUAUAUGAACAUCCUAGCAGUCGGCAUCCUAAUGACAGCAGACAUUGUACAAUCCUCAAUCAUGCCUCUCACCUGGAUAGUAGAAGGAUGAUGACGUAAUCCCACAAGUUGGUACACUUUGACAGCCAAUUUAUACCCGGGAAUGGCGAGAACGACACGAAAAGACGCUCGGUUCCAGGAUUUCGAGUCAUUCUUCAUCUAAACGGGAAUAUAUGAACAUCCUAGCAGUCGGCAUCCUAAUGACAGCAGACAUUGUACAAUCCUCAAUCAUGCCUCUCACCUGGAUAGUAGAAGGAUGAUGACGUAAUCCGACAAGUUGGUACACUUUGACAGCCAAUUUAUACCCGGGAAUGGCGAGAACGACACGAAAAGACGCUCGGUUCCAGGAUUUCGAGUCAUUCUUCAUCUAAACGGGGAAUAUAUGAACAUCCUAGCAGUCGGCAUCCCAAUGACAGCAGACAU